GAUGAACGCUGGCGGCGUGCCUAAUACAUGCAAGUCGAGCGAACAGACAAGGAGCUUGCUCCUCUGACGUUAGCGGCGGACGGGUGAGUAACACGUGGAUAACCUACCUAUCAGACGGGGAUAACUUCGGGAAACCGGAGCUAAUCCCGGAUAAUAUAUUGAACCGCAUGGUUGAAUAGUGAAAUACGGUUUUGCUGUCACUUAUAGAUGGAUCCGCGCCGCAUUAGCUAGUUGGUAAGGUAACGGCUUACCAAGGCAACGAGGCGUAGCCGAGCUGAGAGAGUGAUCGGCCACACGGGAACUGAGACACGGUCAAGACGCCUACGGGAGGCAGCAGUAGGGAAUCUUCCGCAAUGGGCGAGAGCCUGACGGAGCAACGCCGCGUGAGUGAUGAAGGUCUUCGGAUCGUAAAACUCUGUUAUUAGGGAAGAACAAAUGUGUAAGUAACUAUGCACGUCUUGACGGUACCUAAUCAGAAAGCCACGGCUAACUACGUG
rnacentral:rRNA from 1 species